CCCAGCCACCAUGCUUCCUUGCCGCCAGGUAGAAAGGCUGAGCCCAUCCUAGAUCUUUGUUCAAGUCAUCAGUAAAUCUGCAUGGAGAGCAAACAAGCAUCUUUCAGCAGAUGGAAGGAUUUUGGAAAGGUCAAAGAUCAGCAGAGGCCAGCAUGACAGGAAUUGCUGUUACAGUAUGUCCCAAGGGCUCUUGCUUGGUGUGUUCAGGGCAAAAGUGAACUCUGGUAGAUCAACUGGAGGGGCGGGGAGAGGCAGGCCAUGACAGCUAUGAGCUAACUUGGGUUGUGGCCAUGCGUUCACUCCUUGUGUAGAUGGGAGUUUGUGACUCUCUUUACUACAGCAUCUUUUGCUACCGUAGUAGAUUGUAUUACUGUUUUCAUCCUUAUCCUUGCAGAAGGUUGACACAUCCCCAUCUUUGCUCUGUUGAACUCAGAGUUGGCUGGGCCACAUGAGUUGCUUUGGCCAAUUAAGUGUGAGCAGAAGGGUUGUGUCGCUUCUGAGCAUAAACAUUAAGAUCAAGUGUGUGAUUCACCAUUUUCUCUUCUUUUAUCUGUCACUUGGGCCAGCAGUGUUCUAGGCAGAGACCAAUCCCAUCAGCCCCAGUCCUGGAGUGAAGGAGACAGGAGAGAGCUGUAGCUGACCUGUAUCAGACAUUUUUCAUGAGCAAGAAAAAAACAUCUGCUGUUGUAAACUGUUUGUCUCCUAGAAAACUUGAAAUUAUACAUGUGGCUUGCAUCCCAUUUCUACGCUGGACCAGGAAAAUCAUCUUAAUGAUUAUUUCACUUGAUUCAAGUCAGAUGUGACAAAUUAUUGACUACAUUUGAAGUAAUUGAGGCAGAAUAAUACUCUUGUUAAGAACCCAGACUGCCUGAGUUCCAAUUGUAGUUUGGCCACCUACUAGCUGCGUGUCCUUCAUAUUUAACCUCAUCUGUAAAAUGGUAAUAAUCAUACCUCUAUCCCAUAGGGUUGUUGUGAGAAUUGAAUGAGCAAAAUAAAUGUCCAGUGCUUAGAAGAGCAUCUGGCAGGUGUGAGUGCUCAAUAGAUGUUAAGCAUUAUAAUUAUCCAAACCAUGUUAACAUUUUAGUCAUUUUAAAGGAUCCUAAAAGGUUUUCCAGACUUCAACAGGCUAUAGAUGAAAGAGGUUCUACAUUCAAGCUACAGCAUAUACAAAAACAUUUCAAUAAUAUACAUGAACUUGUAAAAUCUCACUAGUUAGCAGUCAAAACAUCCUUCUUUGUACAUAAUGUGGACAAGUCUUAUCACUGAAUAAUAGACUUAUAAAACAGAUAAAUAUUCCUUGGUAUAUAAUAUAGACUCAGAAUUUCAGAGCUGGCAGUUGAAUCACCAUUUAUCCUAUACAUGAAUUACCAGUUUUCAAAGAUUCAUGGCACAAUGGAAUACUCCCAAUGUUGAAAUGGUAUUAAACACACUAACCCCUCUUUGAUGAUUUAGAAGAUAUUUGCAGAGUUUUUAGUAAGCACAGGUCAGUAACACAUGAAGCAUGGAAGGGUCAUACAGGCACUGCCCUAGGUGAUGAAUAGGGCCAGCUUUCACUGUAUCAUGUACAUGUCAGGUAAUAACAACUGAGUAUGUUUGACAAAGAAUCCACACACACUGAAAGAAAAGCCCAUUCUGCUUCUCCAAAUUUGUGUUAUUUGCUCCAAAUCUGCAAGGGCCCCUCAUCUCUAGGAUGACCUAAGCUGACCUGAUUUAUAGUUCAACUCUUGGAUUCUGGGGAAGGCAUCUUUCAAGGAGUCAGUGAUCACUCAUACCGACCCUGAUUCUACCCACAUAAAGCUGCCAGUCUGCCCCCCCACACAUUUCUGCUUAUCCAGAGAACUUUGUUGCUUCUAAGCCAUCCAGUUGCAGAGAAACCAAAGAAAAUAAUGACAAAGGAAACAGCCCUAUAAGUGCAGCAGACCUUGGAGAAAUCUCUCAGGGUUGAAACCAGGGUGUCUCAAACUUGGCACCAUUUACAUGUCCUGGGGGCUGUCCUGUGCACUUAUAGGAAGUUUAGCAGCAUCCCUGGUGUAUUAGUCAACGUUCUCUAAAGGGACAGAACUAACAGAUAUAUGUAUAGAUGAAGGGGAGUUGAUUAGAAUUGACUCACAUGAUCACAAGGUGAAGUCCUACAAUAGGCCUUCUGCAGGCUGAAGAGCAAGGAAGCCAGUCCAAGUCCCAAAACCUCAAAAGUAGGAAAGCCAACAGUGCAGCCUUCAGUCUAUGGCCAAAGGCCCGAGAGCCCCUGGCAAACCACUGGUGUAAGUCAAAGAGUCCAAAAGCUGAAGAGCUUGGAGUCUGAUGUUUGAGGGCAGGAAGCAUCCAGCACAGGAGAAAGAUGAAGGCCAGAAGACUCAGCAAGUCAAGUCAAGUCCUUCCACAUUCUUCUGCCUGCUUUAUUCUAGCCACGCUGGCAGCUGAUUAGAUGGUGCCCACUGGAUUAAGGAUAGGUCUGCCUCUCCCAGUCUACUGACUCAAAUGUUAAUCUCCUUUGGUAACACCCUCACAGACAUGCUGAUUUGGUUUGGCUUUGUCCCCACUUAAAUCUCAUCUUGAAUUCUCAUGUGUUGGAAGAGGGACCUGGUGGGAGGUAACUGAAUCAUGAAGGCAGGUCUUUCCCAUGGUGUUCUCGUGAUAGUGAAAAAGUCUCAUGAGAUCUGAUGGCUUUAUAAAGGGGAGGUUCCCUGCACAAGCUCUCUCUUUGCCUGUCACCACUGAUGUAAGACAUGACUUGCUCCUCCUUGCCUUCUGCCAUGAUUGUGAGGCCUCCCCAGCCACGUGGAACUAUAAAUCCAUUAAACCUCUUUCUUUUGUAA
rnacentral:lncRNA from 10 species